rnacentral:lncRNA from 10 species
AGUGCCGCCAAAGUGGGAGCCCAGGCAGGGGAGGCGCCGAGAGCCAGUGAGGACUGCCAGCACCGCUGUCACCUCUCAGAAAUGCUGGGAAGAAUAUGAGAGGUCCGGAAGGGAACAGAAGACAAGGAAUGUGGGCACCCUCUAGAAGUUGCAGAAGCCAGAGAAACAGACUCUCCCCUGGAAUGUUCAGAAAGUGUACAAUCCUGCCAAGACCUCGGUCAUAGCUCAGUGAAACCCAUUUUGAAAUUCGGACCACCAGAACUGUCCAGAUUGUGAGAAACGCAUUCACCCAUUCAAACCCAAACAAUGGACUCGGAGUCAAGAAGAACAGCAGAAGCGAGACUUUCUAUGACGGUCUUGCAAGAUGGGGUGUCUGGUAGGUUGUGGCCAUAAUAGGAUGGUACAAAAUAUGUUUCUAGAGAAACUGGCAUUAACUAAACCAUACUCUGCAAAACCCAAGCAAAAGAUAAGGACAACAACAUAUGGACUUUUACAACAAAUGAGUUCACAUGACUUUUUUUUACAUUCUUUAGCUAUGAAUAGAUGAAAACAGCAGAAUUCAUGGACAAUGGGGAUAUAAAAGGUGGCAAUACAAAGUGGAAUAGAUAAUAAAUGUUGUGACUCGAAGAAAAUGGAGUAAAUUGAACGUGAGUUCACAGAUAACAACACCGAAGAGAAAAGAGUGACUU